AACCUGGUUGAUCCUGCCAGUAGUCAUAUGCUUGUCUCAAAGAUUAAGCCAUGCAUGUCUAAGUAUAAAUGGUAUACAAUGAAACUGCGAAUGGCUCAUUAAAACAGUUAUAGUUUAUUUGGUAAUCAAACUUACAUGGAUAACCGUGGUAAUUCUAGAGCUAAUACAUGCUGUUGCGCCCGACUCACGAAGGGCAGUAUUUAUUAGAUAUCAGCCAAUAAGCAUCUGCUAUUGUGGUGACUCAUAGUAACUUAAUCGGAUCGCAUGGGCUUGUCCCGCGACAAACCAUUCAAGUUUCUGCCCCAUCAUGCUUUCGAUGGUAGUGUAUUGGACUACCAUGGCUUUCACGGGUAACGGAGGAUUAGGGUUCGAUUCCGGAGAGGGAGCCUGAGAAACGGCUACCACUUCCACGGAAGGCAGCAGGCGCGUAAAUUACCCAAUCCUGACUCGGGGAGGUAGUGACAAGAAAUAAUGGGUCGGGGUUCUGCCCCGGGACUGCAAUGAGACGAAUUUAGACCCCUUAUCGAGGACCAAUUGGAGGGCAAGUCUGGUGCCAGCAGCCGCGGUAAUUCCAGCUCCAAUAGCGUAUAUUAAAGUUGUUGCAGUUAAAAAGCUCGUAGUUGGAUUUCUGGUAGUGGGUAAGAGCUCGUUGCACGAUGCUCGCGUUCAUUGCCAUCCUUCUGUUAACCUUUCACGACAUUCAUUUGUUUGUUAGGGGCUCAGAUAUUUUACCUUGAGAAAAUUAGAGUGUUUCAGGCAGGCUUGUGCCCGGAUACAUUAGCAUGGAAUAAUGGAAUAGGACUUUAGCCUCUUCUGUUGGUCUGAGGGGUUGAAGUAAUGAUUAAUAGGGAUAGUUGGGGGCAUUAGUACUUAACUGUCAGAGGUGAAAUUCUCGGAUUUGUUAAAGACUAACUUAUGCGAAAGCAUUUGCCAAGGAUGUUUUCAUUAAUCAAGAACGAAAGUUAGGGGAUCAAAGACGAUCAGAUACCGUCCUAGUCUUAACCAUAAACUAUGCCGACUCGGGAUCGGGGGCCAGAGAUAACUGCCUUCGGCACCGUAUGAGAAAUCAAAGUCUUUGGGUUCUGGGGGGAGUAUGGUCGCAAGGCUGAAACUUAAAGGAAUUGACGGAAGGGCACCACCAGGCGUGGAGCUUGCGGCUCAAUUUGACUCAACACGGGGAAACUUACCAGGUCUAGACAUAGUGAGGAUUGACAGAUUGAUAGCUCUAUCUUGAUUCUGUGGGUGGUGGUGCAUGGCCGUUCUUAGUUGGUGGAGUGAUUUGUCUGGUUAAUUCCGUUAACGAACGAGACCUUAGCCUACUAAAUAGUCGCAACAAUUACGAUUGGCUGCGACUUCUUAGAGGGACUUUGCAAGCAACUGCAAGGAAGUUUGAGGCAAUAACAGGUCUGUGAUGCCCUUAGAUGUCCUGGGCCGCACGCGUGCUACACUGACGCAUACAGCGAGUAUCACCAGCUCCGUGAGGCUGCUGGUAAUCAGCAAUAUGCGUCGUGCUGGGGAUAGAUCUUUGGAAUUUUUGAUCUUGAACGAGGAAUGCCUAGUAAGCGCAGGUCAUCAGCCUGCGUUGAUUAAGUCCCUGCCCUUUGUACACACCGCCCGUCGCUCCUACCGAUUUCGAGUAGUCCGGUGAACCCUUUGGACCGAGAGCGCCUCGUGCGCAUUUGGAAAGUCGAGUAAACCACAUCACUUAGAGGAAGGACAAGUCGUAACAAGGUUUCCGUAGGUGAACCUGCAGAAGGAUCA
rnacentral:rRNA from 1 species